AUGCAAGAUCUUAGUCGUAGAGGAAAUCUGAUCUGCUGCAGCACGGAAACAUCAGCCGUGGGAUGGCGAGACAAAUUCCUUAGGGAGCUGCCUAGGAAUGUGCUGUGGAGAUCUGCGGGGGCUUAUUUCCUUUUCUGAGAUCUGAGCCAAAGCUUAAGUCUCUUGAUGUGUAACCAUCAAAGGCAUUGAAGGUAAAUAACUUGCAGUAGUGCUGGUAAAUAAAUAUCUUGCAGACUAUUACUCA
rnacentral:lncRNA from 1 species